rnacentral:misc_RNA from 1 species
AACCUAGCACACCUGCGGUGUGUACCUGCGGAGGGAUCAUUACACAAAUUAAAAUAUGAAGGCUUCGGCUGGAUUAUUUUUAUCACCCUUGUCUUUUGCGCACUUGUUGUUUCCUGGGCGGGUUCGCCCGCCACCAGGACCACACCAUAAACCUUUUUUAUGCAGUUGCAAUCAGCGUCAGUAUAACAAAUGUAAAUCAUUUACAACUUUUAACAACGGAUCUCAGAUCGGAAGAGCACA